UCAAGCUAAUAAGGGCGCAAGGGGAAUGCCUUGGCAUUGGAAGCCGAUGAAGGACGUAGCGAUCUACGAAAAGCCCCGGGGAGGCGAAAGCAGCCAUCGAUCCGAGGAUAUCCGAAUGGGGAAACCCGGCGGAGCAAUACUCCGUCAUCCUUUUGUGAAUCCAUAGCAACUGGAAGGGAACCGCCUGAACUGAAACAUCUAAGUAGGGCGAGGAAGAGAAAUCAACCGAGAUUCCGCUAGUAGUGGCGAGCGAACGCGGAAGAGGCCAAACCAAGAGUAGUAAUACUUUUGGGGUUUUGGACAGCGUACGGUAUUAACUGCGGUUAGUAGAAUGAAAUGGGAAGUUCAACCACAGAGCGUGAUAGUCGCGUACACGAAAACUAAAGUUAGCCAGCUGGAUCCAGAGUACCGCCGGACACGUGAAACCCGGUGGGAAGACGGGGGGACCACCCUCCAAGCCUAAAUACUCUCCAAUGACCGAUAGUGUAUAGUACUGUGAAGGAAAGGUGAAAAGAACCCCUGGCGGGGAGUGAAAUAGAACCUGAAACCUUGUGCCUACAAGCACAUAGAGCGCGUCAAUGCGUGAUAUGGUACCUUUUGUAGAAUGGUCCGGCGAGUGAAUGUCACUGGCAAGGUUAAGCUCUUCAGGAGUGCAGCCGAAGCGAAAGCGAGUCUGAAAUGGGCGUUUUAGUCAGUGGUAUUCGACCCGAAACCGGGUGACCUAGCCAUGAGCAGGCUGAAGUGGAGGUAAAACUCCAUGGAGGGCCGAACCCACUCCCGUUGAAAUGGUAGGGGAUGACUUGUGGCUAGCGGAGAAAUUCCAAUCGAACCCGGAGAUAGCUGGUUCUCUCCGAAAUAGCUUUAGGGCUAGCCUCAAUUAACAUUACCGCAGGUAAAGCACUGAAUGAGCUAGGGGGCGAAAGCUUACUGAACUCUAUCAAACUCAGAAUGGCGGAUAAUGAAUGAUUGGGAGUCACACUACGUGAGAUAAGUUUCGUGGUGGAAAGGGAAACAGCCCAGACCCACAGCUAAGGUCCCAAAGUACAGUUAAGUGGAAAAGGAUGUGAAAUUGCGCAGACAACCAGGAUGUUGGCUCAGAAGCAGCCACUCAUUCAAAGAGUGCGUAAUAGCUCACUGGUCGAGUGGUUUUGCGCCGAAAAUUUAACGGGGCUAAACUGUACACCGAAGCUUGGGAAUAUACAUUUGUAUGUUGGUAGGAGAGCGUUGUGUAAGGGGUGAAGUCGUAGCGAAAGCGGCGGUGGACUUUACACAAGUGAGAAUGCCGGAAUGAGUAGCGAGAAUUAUGUGAGAAUCAUAAUGGCCGAAAGACUAAGGUUUUAGAAGGAAGGUUCGUCCGCUUCUAGUUAGCCGGGAGCUAAGGCGAGGCCGAGAGGCGUAGUCGAUGCACAUACGGUUGAGAUUCCGUAGCUACCUUGCAUUUAAGCGAAGGGACACAUUUGAAGGGCAUGACCCGGGCGUUGGUUGACCCGGGCGUAAGGGACCGAAAAUAAGUAGGGAAGCAUGCUUGGAUGGUGGCGAGAAAAGCUUCGUGUAUAUAAGCAGGGUACCCGUACUGCAAACCGACACAGGUAGUCAGGAAGAGGAUUCUAAGGCCAUCGGGAGAAGCGUUGUUAAGGAACUCGGCAAAUUGACCCCGUAACUUCGGAAUAAGGGGUGCUCACGCGAGUGAGCCGCAGUGAAUAGGUCCAGGCAACUGUUUAUCAAAAACACAGCUCUCUGCUAAAUCGUAAGAUGACGUAUAGGGGGUGACACCUGCCCGGUGCUGGAAGGUUAAGAGGAGGGGUGCAAGCUCCGAAUUGAAGCCCCAGUAAACGGCGGCCGUAACUAUAACGGUCCUAAGGUAGCGAAAUUCCUUGUCGGGUAAGUUCCGACCCGCACGAAUGGUGUAAUGAUCUGGACACUGUCUCAACAACGCACCCGGCGAAAUUGUAGUACCGGUGAAGAUGCCGGUUACCCGCGGCAAGACGGAAAGACCCCAUGGAGCUUCACUGUAGCCUGAUAUUGGGUCUCGGUAUUUUAUGUACAGGAUAGGCGGGAGACUUGGAAACCAGCACGCCAGUGUUGGCGGAGUCACCCUUGGGAUACCGCUCUUAAAGUAUUGAGAUUCUAACCUGCAGCCAUGAAUCUGGCUGGGGGACAUUGUCAGGUGGGCAGUUUGACUGGGGUGGUCGCCU
rnacentral:rRNA from 1 species